UGUUUAACAAAAACAUUGCUUUAAAAAUGUAAAAUUAAGUAAGAUCUGCUCAGUGUCUUAGAUAAACAGCUUUAAUGUAGCAUAAUAGAUAGUCUUUUAAUUGGAGAAUGGAAUGAAUGAUUAAAUUUAAUUAUUUUUUAAAUUAUGUAAAAGUAAAUUAAUUUUUAUAUAAAAUAUUAUAAAAAAUUUUUAGGGAAAAUAAGACCCUAAAAGCUUCAAUAGAAAAUUUUAUUUGGGGAAAAUUUUGAAUUAAGUUUCAGUAUUUUAUCCAUAAAAAAUGAUGGUACAAGUUACUUUAGGGUUAACAGGAAAAUUUUUUAUUAAAGAUCAAAUUAAAAAAAAAGAUUUUUACCUCGAUGUUGAAUUAAAUUUGCUUUUCAGUGCAGUAGCUUAAAAAGUUGAACUGUUCGUUCAUUAAAAUUUUACGUGAUUUGAGUUCAAACCGGUUUAAGCCAGGUUGGUUUCUAUCUUAAUAAAAAAUUUAAUUGUACGAAAGGACUUUAAA
rnacentral:rRNA from 1 species